CCUACGGGUGGCAGCAGUGAGGAAUAUUGGUCAAUGGGCGGGAGCCUGAACCAGCCAAGUCGCGUGAGGGAAGACGGUCCUAUGGAUUGUAAACCUCUUUAGGCGGGGAGCAAUGCCGGGCACGUGUGCCCGGAGGGAGAGUACCCGCAGAAUCAGCAUCGGCUAACUCCGUACCAGCAGCCGCGGUAAUACGGGGGAUGCGCGCUUUUUCGGGAUUUAUGGGGGUAAAGGGGGGCGUAGGCGGAUUGUUAAGCCAGCGGUAAACGGGCCGGGAUAAACCCGGGUCGGCCGUUGAAACUGGGGAUCUUGAGUGAGCGAGAAGUAUGCGGAAUGCGUGGUGUAGCGGUGAAAUGCAUAGAUAUCGCGCAGAACUCCGGUGGCGAAGGCAGCAUACCGGAGCCCGACUGACGCUGAGGCACGAAGGCGUGGGGAUCGAACAGGAUUAGAUACCCUAGUAGUC
rnacentral:rRNA from 1 species